UGGGGCAUAUGUGCCCUGACACCCAGUGCCCGGGGGGCUCUUAUGACGGUGGAACAGAAGAGAAGCUCAGGCAUGGGUGUCUGCAUUCUAGAGCUGGUGCUUGGCUGGAGGAGAGUUGAUGUACCUCUGGCAGCUCUGUACAUGUGAUGUAAGCUGGAAACCAUCAAGACAGAAGAAGCAGAAGGUCGUCUGUAGACCAGGAGGAGGAGCCUCACCAGAAACCAGCCAUGCUGAACCACGCUGACAACCAGAUUCUAUGCUUCCGGCCUCUGUA